rnacentral:rRNA from 1 species
GGGAUGAGCUGUGGAUAGGGGUGAAAGGCCAAUCAAACUUCGUGAUAGCUGGUUCUCUCCGAAAUGCAUUUAGGUGCAGCGUUGCGUGUUUCUUGUUGGAGGUAGAGCGACUGGAUGGUUUAGCGGGACUAUCAUCUUAGCGACAUCAGCCAAACUCCGAAUGCCAGCAAGGUGAGAGCGCGGCAGUGAGACUGCGGGGGAUAAGCUCCGUGGGUCGAGAGGGAAACAGCCCAGAUCGCCGGCUAAGGUCCCCAAGUCGUGGCUAAGUGGGAAAGGAUGUGGGACUCCCAAAACAACCAGGAGGUUGGCUUAGAAGCAGCCAUCCUUGAAAGAGUGCGUAAUAGCUCACUGGUCAAGUGAUUCCGCGCCGAUAAUGUAGCGGGGCUUAAGUUAUCCGCCGAAGCUGUGGCAACCUGUGUGGUUGGGUAGGGGAGCGUCGUGUCAGUGGUGAAGCUGCCGGGUGACUGUGUGGUGGAGUUGAUGCGAGUGAGAAUGCAGGCAUGAGUAGCGUGUGACGGGUGGGAAUCCCGUCCGCCGAUUAUCCAAGGGUUCCAGGGUCAAGUUUGUCUGCCCUGGGUGAGUCGGGUCCUAAGGCGAGGCCGACAGGCGUAGUCGAUGGGUAACCAGUUGAUAUUCUGGUACCGGCUUGUCACCGUCCGUGUCGAGGUGUGUGAUGCUAAGCAUGUGAGCUUGUCUUGGGAGUGUUUUUGAUGCUUCUGGGGUGGGUGAGUGUGUGAACCGAUCAUGUAGUAGGCAAGCUGCGGAGGGACGCAGUGAGGUAGCUCAUCCCCGGUGAUGGUUGUCCGGGGCUAAGUGUGUGGACUGUCUGGUAGGUAAAUCCGCUGGGCGUGAAGGUUGAGGCAUGAUGGGGAGCCCAUGGUUGUGGGUGAGUGAGUGAUCCUGUACUGUCGAGAAAAGCUUCGUGAGCGAGGUGGCGGGUCCGCCCGUACCCUAAACCGACACUGGUGGAUAGGUAGAGUAUACCGAGGCGAUCGAGUGAAUCGUGGUGAAGGAACUCGGCAAAAUGCCCCCGUAACUUUGGGAUAAGGGGGACCUGAGCUGUCGUGCACCCGUGCGGUGUGGUGGCGGUGAGGGGCGCAGAGUCCAGGGGGAAACGACUGUUUACCAAAAACACAGGUCCGUGCGAA